UACGGGGGGGGCAAGCGUUGUUCGGAAUUACUGGGCGUAAAGGGCCAGUAGGCGGCCACCUAAGUCCGACGUGAAAUCCCAAGGCUUAACCUUGGAACUGCGUCGGAUACUGGAUGGCUUGAAUUCGGGAGAGGGAUGCAGAAUUCCAGGUGUAGCGGUGAAAUGCGUAGAUAUCUGGAGGAAUACCGGUGGCGAAGGCGGCAGCCUGGACCGACAUUGACGCUGAACGGCGAAAGCUAGGGGAGCAAACGGG
rnacentral:rRNA from 1 species